GGGAAUUUUGGACAAUGGGCGCAAGCCUGAUCCAGCAAUGCCGCGUGCAGGAUGAAGGCCUUCGGGUUGUAAACUGCUUUUGUACGGAACGAAAAAGCUCUCUCUAAUACAGGGGGUGAAUGACGGUACCGUAAGAAUAAGCACCGGCUAACUACGUGCCAGCAGCCGCGGUAAUACGUAGGGUGCAAGCGUUAAUCGGAAUUACUGGGCGUAAAGCGUGCGCAGGCGGUUUUGUAAGACAGAGGUGAAAUCCCCGGGCUCAACCUGGGAACUGCCUUUGGGACUGCAAAGCUGGAGUGCGGCAGAGGGGGAUGGAAUUCCGCGUGUAGCAGUGAAAUGCGUAGAUAUGCGGAGGAACACCGAUGGCGAAGGCAAUCCCCUGGGCCUGCACUGACGCUCAUGCACGAAAGCGUGGGGAGCAAACA
rnacentral:rRNA from 1 species